rnacentral:rRNA from 1 species
AUGAACGCUGGCGGCGUGCUUAACACAUGCAAGUCGAACGAAGAAGGUUAGAAUGAGAGCUUCGGCAGGAUUUCUUUCCAUCUUAGUGGCGGACGGGUGAGUAACGUGUGGGCAACCUGCCCUGUACUGUGGAAUAAUCAUUGGAAACGAUGACUAAUACCGCAUGUGGUCCUCGGAAGGCAUCUUCUGAGGAAGAAAGGAUUUAUUCGGUACAGGAUGGGCCCGCAUCUGAUUAGCUAGUUGGUGAGAUAACAGCCCACCAAGGCGACGAUCAGUAGCCGACCUGAGAGGGUGAUCGGCCACAUUGGGACUGAGACACGGCCCAAACUCCUACGGGAGGCAGCAGUGGGGAAUAUUGCACAAUGGGCGAAAGCCUGAUGCAGCAACGCCGCGUGAAGGAUGAAGGGUUUCGGCUCGUAAACUUCUAUCAAUAGGGAAGAAACAAAUGACGGUACCUAAAUAAGAAGCCCCGGCUAACUACGUGCCAGCAGCCGCGGUAAUACGUAGGGGGCAAGCGUUAUCCGGAAUUACUGGGUGUAAAGGGAGCGUAGGCGGCAUGGUAAGCCAGAUGUGAAAGCCUUGGGCUUAACCCGAGGAUUGCAUUUGGAACUAUCAAGCUAGAGUACAGGAGAGGAAAGCGGAAUUCCUAGUGUAGCGGUGAAAUGCGUAGAUAUUAGGAAGAACACCAGUGGCGAAGGCGGCUUUCUGGACUGAAACUGACGCUGAGGCUCGAAAGCGUGGGGAGCAAACAGGAUUAGAUACCCUGGUAGUCCACGCCGUAAACGAUGAGUGCUAGGUGUCGGGGAGGAAUCCUCGGUGCCGCAGCUAACGCAAUAAGCACUCCACCUGGGGAGUACGACCGCAAGGUUGAAACUCAAAGGAAUUGACGGGGGCCCGCACAAGCGGUGGAGCAUGUGGUUUAAUUCGAAGCAACGCGAAGAACCUUACCAGGUCUUGACAUUGAUCGCGAUCUGCAGAAAUGCGGAGUUCUUCUUCGGAAGACGAGAAAACAGGUGGUGCACGGCUGUCGUCAGCUCGUGUCGUGAGAUGUUGGGUUAAGUCCCGCAACGAGCGCAACCCUUAUCUUCAGUAGCCAUCAUUCAGUUGGGCACUCUGGAGAGACUGCCGUGGAUAACACGGAGGAAGGUGGGGAUGACGUCAAAUCAUCAUGCCCCUUAUGUCUUGGGCUACACACGUGCUACAAUGGCUGGUAACAAAGUGACGCGAGACGGCGACGUUAAGCAAAUCACAAAAACCCAGUCCCAGUUCGGAUUGUAGUCUGCAACUCGACUACAUGAAGCUGGAAUCGCUAGUAAUCGCGAAUCAGCAUGUCGCGGUGAAUACGUUCCCGGGCCUUGUACACACCGCCCGUCACACCAUGGGAGUUGGAAGUACCCGAAGUCGGUGACCUAACCGUAAGGAAGGAGCCGCCGAAGGUGAAGCCAGUGACUGGGGUG